ensembl:rRNA 5S_rRNA 5S ribosomal RNA
GUCUACGGCCAUGCUACCCUGAACAAGCCCAAUCCCGUCUGAUCUCAGAAGCUAAACAGGGUCAGGCCUGGUUAGUACUUGGGAGAUGUGUUUGCUGCCACCCAGGAAGACCAGGUGCUGUAGGCG